CCUAGCGUGAGCGGCGGCGGCGUCGGCGGUGUGGUCAGUACUGCAAGCAGCGGCCAAGGGCCAACGGAGCCGGCGACGGGCGACCAGAUGAAGAAGGGUGUUAGCAUAUUUGCAUCGUGGGAAAGAGCUUCGAAGGCAAAGAAAACAGGUGGUUUGCCGAGUGGUCUUUCAUGUCUCUCGGUAUAGAUAACAACAAGUCACGGAACCGUCAGUUGCAAACGAAGAUGCCACGCGGCUAGUCUUUGCCGUGUGGAGCUCUCGGCGUCUGUUGCGUUUGCCGACUGUGCUUUGUUCACCAUGAUGCACUGUCGGCAACAUUAUCUUGUUGCCGUGAACCCGUGGUUUUUCGAGAGUUGCUCUUGGCAUAUAUGUGUUUGCCGAGUGCCCGUGGUUUGGCGCUCGGUGAAGAGCCAGACACACGGAGUAUAAGGAAAUUCCAAUAGUGAAGGGUAUAUGUCGUGUGCCAUGUUAAUUGGUUUUUGUCAGCAGUUGGUUUCUGCUCAA